UCGUGGAGCUCCGGCUCCUUCGAGGGAGAACCCUUGCCUUUUCGAGCACCUGUUCGUUUCCUCGGCAGGCCCGCCUGCCAAUGGGGACCCCUUUAAACUCUUGCAAUAACCUGUACGAAAUCGUCUGAACAAAACAAACAAAUCA
rnacentral:misc_RNA from 1 species